AACUUCGCUGCUUUCAUCGGUUUCCACGAUAUCUUCAAGGAAGGGGAAUACGUCACUGUCUUGGGUGAACCUCUGAAAUCGAGUGGCCGCGUAAGGUGGGCAAAGGGGGAGCCCAAUAACGGGAUGUUCCCCGGUUCUCCGGAAGGCGAGGACUGCGGGAAUAUUUACGCGGACGGAACCAUCAACGACUGCAGGUGCAUCCUGGAGAUGCCAUUUGUGUGUGAACAGAGUCUCUAAUGCUUGUCGGGGCUGACUCUUUUGUAUCCUGCAGUUAGCUGUGAAUUGCUGAAACUUCAACACCUGCGCUUGGUUGCAAAUUAUGGAAGAAACAAACUGCGCAUCAGCUUCUUCUGCCAAUAGGAAGAUGUUACAAAGCAAAACAUAAAAUAAAAAUCAUUUCUUUUUCUGUUA